CUACAGUCAUAUCGCCCUGAAUAUGCCCAAUCUCCUUGAUCUUGGAAGCUAUGCAGGGUCAGGCCUGGUUAGUCUGUGGA
rnacentral:rRNA from 1 species